AUUGGCCGGGCCUGACGGGGGCGGGCCCGCGCAUGCGCUUAAGGAGCGGCGCCCCAGCCGCGCCGGGGUAGUGCCAAGAUGUCGGCGGCAGUGCCGGAGCUGAAGCAGAUUAGCCGGGUGGAGGCUAUGCGCCUGGGGCCGGGCUGGAGCCACUCGUGCCACGCUAUGCUGUACGCUGCCAAUCCCGGGCAGCUUUUCGGCCGCAUCCCCAUGCGCUUCUCGGUGCUGAUGCAGAUGCGCUUCGACGGGCUGCUGGGUUUCCCCGGGGGCUUCGUGGACCGGCGCUUUUGGUCUCUGGAGGACGGUCUGAACCGGGUGCUGGGCCUGGGCCUGGGCUGCCUGCGCCUCACGGAGGCCGACUAUCUGAGCUCGCACCUGACCGAGGGCCCGCACCGCGUCGUGGCGCACCUGUACGCACGGCAGCUGACGCUGGAGCAGCUGCACGCCGUGGAGAUCAGCGCGGUGCAUUCGCGCGACCACGGCCUGGAGGUGGGGCCGCCGUCCGGGCCCCGCCCCCCGCCCCGGGGUUUGGCUCUGGCCCCGUGGAAGGCACCGAUGGGUGCUGGGGCUUGUGCGGGUCCCGCUUUACACGCAAAAAGACCGAGUCGGCGGCUUUCCCAACUUCCUGAGCAACGCCUUUACCAGCACUGCCAAGUACCAGUUGCUCUUUGCUCUCAAGGUGCUCCACAUGAUGCCCGAGGAGAAGCUGGCUGAGGCUUUGGCUGCUGCCACCGAGAAGCAGAAGCAAGCCCUGGAGAAGCUCCUCCCAUCAUCCUCCUGAGAGGCAGCUCCUGGAUGCGGUGUGGAAGCAGUGGCCCCAGUGUGCAGGAUGACCACCGCAGAGCCACCACCGAUAGGCAGGUCACCACUGGCACUCGCCGAGGGCCCUGUGUCUGGAAACUCCUCAGAGAAGCUCACCAAGUUUCCAUGGCGCCUGCCUGGCCUGGUAAGGAGAGCUAUGCUCGGGCCCAGCCUGAGCAUCUAUCCCACCUCAGAGCCUCAGCGAAGUGGCCAGCGCGUGUGGGCAAAGGCACUUCGUUCUGUAAAUAAAAUACCUGUACCCUG